rnacentral:rRNA from 1 species
UACAGAGGGGGCAAGCGUUGUUCGGAAUUACUGGGCGUAAAGGGCGCGUAGGCGCCUGCUAAGUCGAACGUGAAAUCCCCGGGCUCAACCCGGGAACUGCGUCCGAUACUGGCAGGCUUGAAUUCGGGAGAGGGAUGCGGAAUUCCAGGUGUAGCGGUGAAAUGCGUAGAUAUCAAGUGGAACACCAGUGGCGAAGGCGAAUCCCUGGAAAAUACCUGACACUGAGGCACGAAAGCUAGGGGAGCAAACAGG